rnacentral:rRNA from 1 species
UACGGGGGGGGCAAGCGUUGUUCGGAAUUACUGGGCGUAAAGGGCUCGUAGGUGGCCAACUAAGUCAGACGUGAAAUCCCCAGGCUCAACUUGGGAACUGCGUCUGAUACUGGUUGGCUUGAAUUCGGGAGAGGGAUGCAGAAUUCCAGGUGUAGCGGUGAAAUGCGUAGAUAUCUGGAGGAAUACCGGUGGCGAAGGCGGCAUCCUGGACCGAUAUUGACACUGAGGAGCGAAAGCCAGGGGAGCAAACGGG